rnacentral:rRNA from 1 species
UGGAGGAAAAAGGAACUAACAAGGAUUCCCCGAGUAGCGGCGAGCGAAACGGGAACAGCCCAGCGCUGAAUCCCACCGUCCGAGCGGACGGUCGGGAAAUGUAGCGUUCGGGAGGAGAUUUUAAUUUUCGCGCGGUCAUAGUCACGGCGGCCAGUCCAAGUUCAUCUUGAAAGGGGCCCCGCUUAUCCGUAGAGGGUGCCAGGCCCGUGGUGACGGUCGCCGGCCGCGACGGUCUCUCUCCCCAGAGUCGGGUUGCUUGAGAGUGCAGCCCUAAGCGGGUGGUAAACUCCAUCUAAGGCUAAAUACGACCACGAGACCGAUAGCGAACAAGUACCGUAGGGGGGAAAGUU